UAGGGAAUCUUCCACAAUGGACGCAAGUCUGAUGGAGCAACGCCGCGUGAGUGAAGAAGGUUUUCGGACCGUAAAGCUCUGUUGUUGGUGAAGAAGGAUAGAGGUAGUAACUGGCCUUUAUUUGACGGUAAUCAACCAGAAAGUCACGGCUAACUACGUGCCAGCAGCCGCGGUAAUACGUAGGUGGCAAGCGUUGUCCGGAUUUAUUGGGCGUAAAGCGAGCGCAGGCGGAAGAAUAAGUCUGAUGUGAAAGCCCUCGGCUUAACCGAGGAAUUGCAUCGGAAACUGUUUUCUUGAGUGCAGAAGAGGAGAGUAGAACUCCAUGUGUAGCGGUGGAAUGCGUAGAUAUAUGGAAGAAUACCAGUGGCGAAGGCGGCUCUCUGGUCUGCAACUGACGCUGAGGCUCGAAAGCAUGGGUAGCGAACAGGAUUAGAUACCCCGGUAGUCCAUGCCGUAAACGAUGAGUGCUAAGUGUUGGGAGGCUUCCGCCUCUCAGUGCUGCAGCUAACGCAUUAAGCACUCCGCCUGGGGGAGUACGACCGCAAGGUUG
rnacentral:rRNA from 1 species